rnacentral:rRNA from 1 species
UCGGGAAUUUUGCGCAAUGGAGGAAACUCUGACGCAGUGACGCCGCGUAUAGGAAGAAGGUUUUCGGAUUGUAAACUAUUGUCGAUGAGGAAGAAAAAAGACAGUACUCAUCAAGAAAGCUCCGGCUAACUACGUGCCAGCAGCCGCGGUAAUACGUAGGGAGCAAGCGUUAUCCGGAAUUAUUGGGUGUAAAGGGUGCGUAGACGGGAAUACAAGUCAGCUGUGAAAUCCCUCGGCUUAACUGAGGAACAGCAACUGAAACUAUAUUUCUUGAGUGCAGGAGAGGAAAGUGGAAUUCCUAGUGUAGCGGUGAAAUGCGUAGAUAUUAGGAGGAACACCAGUGGCGAAGGCGACUUUCUGGACUGUAACUGACGUUGAGGCACGAAAGUGUGGGGAGCAAACAGG